rnacentral:rRNA from 1 species
CACGGGGGGAGCAAGCGUUGUUCGGAAUCACUGGGCGUAAAGGGCGUGUAGGCGGUCAGGUAAGUGAGAUGUGAAAUGCCCCGGCUCACCCGGGGACCGGCAUCUCAUACUGCUUGGCUUGAGUACGGGAGAGGAUGUGGGAAUUCCUGGUGUAGCGGUGAAAUGCGUAGAUAUCAGGAGGAACACCGGUGGCGAAGGCGCACAUCUGGCCCGAUACUGACGCUGAGGAGCGAAAGCCAGGGGAGCAAACGGG